AAAUUGAAGAGUUUGAUCAUGGCUCAGAUUGAACGCUGGCGGCAGGCCUAACACAUGCAAGUCGAACGGUAACAGGGAUCAGCUUGCUGAUUCGCUGACGAGUGGCGGACGGGUGAGUAAUGUCUGGGAAACUGCCUGAUGGAGGGGGAUAACUACUGGAAACGGUAGCUAAUACCGCAUAACGUCGCAAGACCAAAGAGGGGGACCUUCGGGCCUCUUGCCAUCGGAUGUGCCCAGAUGGGAUUAGCUAGUAGGUGGGGUAACGGCUCACCUAGGCGACGAUCCCUAGCUGGUCUGAGAGGAUGACCAGCCACACUGGAACUGAGACACGGUCCAGACUCCUACGGGAGGCAGCAG
rnacentral:rRNA from 1 species